GAAGUCUUCCGCGCACCUCAGUGACACCUUGCUGAUACAGUGGUCGCCGGCGGAAAGAAUGCGAUAUGUCUCUAUUAUCAGUCGUACAGGCUCCGAUUUACUUCUUGAAAGAAUGGCAGUAUUCUCUAGUACCGGGUGGCAUGCACACGUUUUGCAGU
rnacentral:lncRNA from 1 species